CCUUGUAUUAUUAUUUAUAUUAAGAAAUUAAGGUGGACAGGUUGGCAUAAUCAGAUUUCCAACAAAAUACAUAAGAAAGGGAGCUGUAAUACCUAUGCAAAUCUAGCCCAUUCCCUUCCUAAUUUUCCAUUGUCAUCCCAAACCCAUUAUUUUUAUUACUACUACCCUAAUAAUACCAAACAAAAACAAAGGCAAAAAUUGACCCAUCCACCAUCUGUCUUUCCUUUAGAGACUUACCAUAACUCUCCAUCAAAAAGAACAAAAGUAACUGAUAUCACUGCAAUUUCAAGCUGUCAUAGCUGCAUUACUUUUUUAUCCAUAAACUCCUAA